GACAUGAGGGUUUAAUAAAACAUUUAUUCUGAGCACAUCUGUACAGCAACGGAUCAACACAGCAGAUCCCAACACAGAUAUAUUACAACCUUAAAUCAACCACUACUUUAUUUAACCAACCAUAACCUCAACACAGCAGAUCCCAUACAACAUAUUACAACCUUAAAUCAACCACUACUUUAUUUAACCAACCAUAACCUCAACACAGCAGAUCCCAUACAACAUAUUACAACCUCAAAUCAGCCACACUUUAUAACCUUUUCUUCCCAAAGAGCAGAAAAAUACAUGUCAAUAUAGUUAUUAAUCAGGAUCGUCAUCAUCGUUAACGUGAGGAGAACAGGAUGACUAAAAAAUGACUCCUUUAUGGAUCAGGACGUAUGGAUUUUAUAUCAUAUCACUAUAGUUAUUAAUCAGCGUUAUGCUGUAGAAUCCAGUCAGGGCCGUGAUUCCACUGGCUGAAGGAUCGUCAUCAUUAAUGAGAGGAAAACAGGAUGACUCCUUUAUGGAUCAGAACGUGGGGAUUCUAUAUCAUAUCACUACUCCGGAUACUAUAUCGGCUUUACGGGGUCAGGGCUACAUUGUAUGGGUUAGAGUUAAAUUGUAUGGGUCAGGGCUACAUUGUAUGGGUUAGAGUUCAAUUGUAAGGGUCAGGGCUACAUUGUAUGGGUCAGGGCAACAUUGUAUGGGUUAGAGUUAUAUUGUGUGGGUUAGAGUUACAUUGUAUGGGUCAGGGCUACAUUGUAUGGGUCAGGGCUACAUUGUAUGGGUUAGAGUUACGUUGUAUGGGUCAGGGUUACAUUGUAUGGGUCAGAGUAAUAUUGUAUGUGUUAGAGUUAUACUGUAUGGGAAAAUCACAUGACUUUAAAAUAAAAACAAAGACUUUAUAAUUUAUAGCAGAUAAAACACAGCCAAGGCACAGAAAGAUGAAGAGGAAAGAAGAGUGCUCAACAGACAUAGCAGGGUCAGGGGUUAAGGGGGGUUGACAUGACAACAAGAGAAUACACUGCAGCAGGAGGAAGACUGGGCUGUGUUCAGCACGGAGCAACGUUCAGGAACGUUCAGCACGGAGCAACGCUCAGGAACGUUCAGCACGGAGCAACGCUCAGGAACGUUCAGCACGGAGCAACGCUCAGGAACGUUCAGCACGGAGCAACGCUCAGGAACGUUCAGCACGGAGCAACGUUCAGGAACGUUCAGCACGGAGCAACGUUCAGGAACGUUCAGCACGGAGCAACGUUCAGGAACGUUCAGCACGGAGCAACGCUCAGGAACGUUCAGCACGGAGCAACGUUCAGGAACGUUCAGCACGGAGCAACGCUCAGGAACGUUCAGCACGGAGCAACGUUCAGGAACGUUCAGCAGCGUUAGAACGUUCAAGAACAUUGAGCAAAGUUAUAACAAUCAGGAACGUUCAGCACGGAGCAACGUUCAGGGACGUUCGGCAGAGUUAUAACGCUCAGAAACGUUCAUCAGAGUAAAAAUGCUCAGGAACGUUCAGCAGAGUUAUAACGUUCAGGAACGUUCAGCAGAGUUAUAACGUUCAGGAACGUUGAGCAGAGUUAUAACGUUCAGGAACGUUCAGCAGAGUUAUAACGUUCAGGAACGUUGAGCAGAGUUAUAACGUUCAGGAACGUUCAGCAGAGUUAUAAUGUUCAGGAACGUUGAGCAGAGUUAUAACGUUCAUGAACGUUCAGCAUGGAGCAACGUUCCAGACAUUCAACACAGAGCUACGUUCAGAUUCAGCAGAGUUAUAAUGUUCAGGAACAUUUAGCAAGGUUAUAAAACGAUCAAGAACGUUCAGCACCGAGCAACGUUUAGGAACAUUUAGCAGAGUUACGUUCAAUGCACCAGGACUCAGUACAGAGUUAACACACACUGGGGCAUCAGUCUCAGACUGUGUUCCAAAUGGACCCCUAUUCCCCCAUGUAGAGCACUACCCCUGGGGACACUACAGAGGGAAUAGGGGGCACUACAGAGGGAAUAGGGGGCACUACAGAGGGAAUAAGGGGCACUACAGAGGGAAUAAAGGGCACUACAGAGGGAAUAGGGGGCACUACAGAGGGAAUAGAGGGCACUACAGAGGGAAUAGGGGACACUACAGAGGGAAUAGAGGGCACUACAGAGGGAAUAGAGGGCACUACAGAGGACACUACAGAGGGAAUAGAGGGCACUACAGAGGGCAAUACAGAGGGAAUAGGGGGCACUACAGAGGGAAUAGGGGACACUACAGAGGGAAUAGGGGGCACUACAGAGGGAAUAGAGGGCGCUACAGUGGGAAUAGGGGGCACUACAGAGGGAAUAGAGGGCACAACAGAGGGAAUAGAGGGCACUACUGAGGGAAUAGGGGGCCAUUUAGGACCCAUUCUGAGACUCAGCAUAAGGGCUCAUACAGCAUAGAGGCAGUUAGAUACUUUAUAUUUUACACUUUAAAAAUCACCACAUGGAUGACAGGGUUAACACUGGAACCGCCCGGAGUUCAACCUCCCUUUUGUCGUCCAUUGAACACCGUGACUGUUGAUGAGGGGGGAGUUUCACCACAUGGACUGACAGGGGACAACACUGGAACCUGUCCGGAGUUCAACCUCCCUUUCUAGUGCACUACUUUAGACCACAGCCCUGUGGGCUGGGAGGCAGACGCAGGGGAUAGGGUGCUACAUCUGGGACAGAUUCUCUCACGGUUCUAGAAGUAGAAUACUACCGGCAGGAUUCUGUCCCGGGUCACCGGUGCAGCAGGAAGAUUCCAUACCGAGAGGGAGUGGAGACUCCCUCCAGUAACUAAACGUCCUCUCACUGUCAACUGGGUUUAUUUACAGCAAACUUAACAUGUGUAAAUAUUUGUAUGAACAUAACAAGAUUCAACAACUGAGACAUAAACUGAACAAGUUCCACAGACAUGUGACUAACAGAAAUGGAAUAAUGUGUCCCUGAACAAAGGGGGGGGGGGGGUCACAAUCAAAAGUAACAGUCAGUAUCUGUUGUGGCCACCAGCUGCAUUAAGUACUGCAGUGCAUCUCUUCCUCAUGGACUGCACCAGAUUUGCCAGUUCUUGCUGUGAGAUGUUACCCCACUCUUCCACCAACGCACCUGCAAGUUCCAGACAUUUCUGGGGGGAAUGGCCCUAGCCCUCACCCUCCGAUCCAACAGGUCCCAGACAUUUCUGGGGGGAAUGGCCCUAGCCCUCACCCUCCGAUCCAACAGGUCCCAGACAUUUCUGGGGGGAAUGGCCCUAGCCCUCACCCUCCGAUCCAACAGUUCCCAGACAUUUCUGGGGG
ensembl:lncRNA